UUCUCAAUUCUUUGAAAUGUUGUUGAUUGAUGACCUUAGAGAUUGGAUCAUUACUGUCCCCGAUUUUUAUUUAGACUGAGUUGCUUAAUACCUUGGGAUGAGAAAUAUAUAUACUCACAAAUCAACGGAUCAGUGGUCGGAGAGGAGAUCGGCGAGUAACUGAUGGUCGGCAUGGUCGCGCGCGGCAGAGGAUAGACCCGACAAGAUCGGUUGGCAGAGUAGCUGGUCGGAGUAGAUCCUCCCGGAUCCUUUCCCCGCAUGCACAGAGGAGCCGGAUGGCCGGAAUGUUGCGUUUCUUGGCCGAGAGAGAGAGAGAGAGAGAGGAGCGGAUGAAGAAGCGCCAGUGCCUCAUCGGCGGUAGCGUGCUUGGGAAGGAGGAAAGGGUCAUUUUCUAUUUUUAAUGCAAAUGACCGCAUAUGCCCCUCCCUUACACCUUUCUUUUCCUGCCAAAAUAUUUUCUAUAGACAUUAAAUUUAAGUUUAUAUUGAAUUUGAAUCAUAUAUAAUAUAAAAUAUUUUUAAAUUUAUUCAAA